UACGAAGGGGGCUAGCGUUGCUCGGAAUCACUGGGCGUAAAGGGUGCGUAGGCGGGUUUUUAAGUCAGAGGUGAAAUCCUGGAGCUCAACUCCAGAACUGCCUUUGAUACUGAAAGUCUUGAGUAUGGGAGAGGUGAGUGGAACUGCGAGUGUAGAGGUGAAAUUCGUAGAUAUUCGGAAGAACACCAGUGGCGAAGGCGACACACUGGCCCGUUACUGACGCUGAGGCGCGAAAGCGUGGGGAGCAAACAGGG
rnacentral:rRNA from 1 species